UUAUAACCGGCGAUGUCCGAAUGGGGAAACCCAGUGCAAUUCGUUGCACUAUCGUUAACUGAAUACAUAGGUUAACGAGGCGAACCGGGGGAACUGAAACAUCUAAGUACCCCGAGGAAAAGAAAUCAACCGAGAUUCCCCCAGUAGCGGCGAGCGAACGGGGAGCAGCCCAGAGUCUGAAUCAGCUUGUGUGUUAGUGGAACGGUCUGGAAAGUCCGACGGUACAGGGUGAUAGUCCCGUACACCAAAAUGCACAGGCUGUGAACUCGAAGAGUAGGGCGGGACACGUGGUAUCCUGUCUGAAUAUGGGGGGACCAUCCUCCAAGGCUAAAUACUCCUGACUGACCGAUAGUGAACCAGUACCGUGAGGGAAAGGCGAAAAGAACCCCGGCGAGGGGAGUGAAAAAGAACCUGAAACCGUGUACGUACAAGCAGUGGGAGCACCUUCGGGUGUGACUGCGUACCUUUUGUAUAAUGGGUCAGCGACUUAUAUUCUGUAGCAAGGUUAACCGUAUAGGGGAGCCGCAGGGAAACCGAGUCUUAACUGGGCGUUAAGUUGCAGGGUAUAGACCCGAAACCCGGUGAUCUAGCCAUGGGCAGGUUGAAGGUUGGGUAACACUAACUGGAGGACCGAACCGACUAAUGUUGAAAAAUUAGCGGAUGACUUGUGGCUGGGGGUGAAAGGCCAAUCAAACCGGGAGAUAGCUGGUUCUCCCCGAAAGCU
rnacentral:rRNA from 1 species